AGACGCACACACUGGAAAACCAGCACCUGGACUUCAUGCAGGAGAGACGGCCUCAGUGAUAAUUCAUCAGCAGCUGUGGAGAGAUGCAUUUGAAUAUCUUCUGGUUCCACUUUUCCUUACCUGGAAGCUGAGUAUUGCUGAUUUCUGACAAGGACACAAACCUCAGUGCUUAUCAUGGGUGUUACAUCCUCUGUGCAGCAAUUCCAGAGAAAACGAGAGAGCAACGACCACUCAUUAAGACCAGCCAGAAAUCUGUCCCUUUCUGGCAGCUGUGGAAACUUCCAAUAAUAAAGUUUGCAUUCUUAGAACAACGCUGGAUCAUGUGUGAUGUGUCAUCAUAUGAGGAUAUUACAUUUUGCCUUAAUUCUGCUCAAUUAAGUGUUUUGA